rnacentral:lncRNA from 1 species
UAUACACUCUAAAACAGCCUGCAUGGUUGUUGUAACUUAAACCAGAAUAUGGUUGUACUCGGUUGUACAUACACCUAGCCACCACGAAGACACUGGGGAGUGGGGACGAGAUUGCCACCUAGCAUAGCUCUGGUACGAGGUUGGCAUAGUUCACCGGUUUAUAUCGUUCAAGAUAAAUAAAAAUAGCUCGGAAAUCUUUCCAAUUUAACUUCACCAAAAUAAUAUAAUUUUGUAUAAACAUUAUAGUGAAAUGGGGGUUCCGUGAUUGUGGUUAGGACAUUCCACACAUGGUGAUAAUGUGUGGUUGGUUAACUCGUAGAGCCUAGUUUCCAUAUGUUCGUAACGGUUACGAUCUUUCUCAACAGUUGAAAUACCACAUUUUAGAACUAAAAAUAGGCAGAGUGAUUGUAAAUAGAGAACACUUAUGAUUUAUAUGUGGUUUACAUAUAAAAUCUGUUAUAAUCUGGCCUUUGAGAAAGAUCGUGACCCCAUCUUUACGACCAUGUGCAAACCUGGCUUACGGGUUACCGUUACAUCUUGGUGAGCAAGAGGCCUGGAGGAACAGGAGAAAAACCCUCAAACCACAGGAAAGAACCAAACAUAUAAGUAUUAGAAAUUACCCAACGUAAUUAAAUCCAUGUCGACCUACAGUAUAGCAGGCUUAACUCAGCGAUAAGAGGCAGCGUGCAACCACACUUGCCACCCACCAUGUUGUGCAUGACAAAGUCCUGCAUCAAUGCAUGCCCUGUCUCAAUGUUAUAGUGCGGAAACAUGCACCGCAUGGACCAUGGUCCAUAUACAUGCACACGAAACAAAAGUAAAUAAAAAUAUUACAGAGAGUGCCUUACAAUAAUUAAUCUACAUCUUGUAGCGCUGGUUUCGUCAUGUCCUGAAAAGGAGAAAAUUAAACUCAACAAACAAAAUGCAACAAAAGUUUUGUGCA